CAAUAGCGUAUAUUAAAGUUGUUGCAGUUAAAAAGCUCGUAGUUGGAUUUGUGGCGUACGGUGUGUUCCGGGCACUUGUUGUCUGAGUAACCUGCUGUUGCCAUCCUUGGGUGGAACCUGUGUGGCAUUAGGUUGUCGUGCAGGGGAUGCCCAUCAUUUACUGUGAAAAAAUUAGAGUGUUCAAAGCAGGCUUAUGCCGUUGAAUGUAUUAGCAUGGAAUAAUGAGAUAGGACUUUUUUGCUAUUUUGUUGGUUUGCGCAAGAAGGUAAUGAUUAAUAGGGACAGUUGGGGGUAUUCGUAUUCCAUUGUCAGAGGUGAAAUUCUUGGAUUUUUGGAAGACGAACUACUGCGAAAGCAUUUACCAAGGAUGUUUUCAUUAA
rnacentral:rRNA from 1 species